rnacentral:rRNA from 2 species
GACGAGGGAUCCUAGCGUUGUUCGGAAUCAUUGGGCGUAAAGAGUAUGUAGGCGGCUUUGUAAGUCAGUUGUGAAAUCCCCGGGCUUAACCCGGGAAGUGCAAUUGAUACUGCUAAGCUUGAAUUUGGAAGAGGGUAGUGGAAUUCCUGGUGUAGUGGUGAAAUACGUAGAUAUCAGGAGGAACACCGGUGGCGAAGGCGGCUACCUGGUCCUAAAUUGACGCUGAGAUACGAAAGCAUGGGGAUCAAACAGG